UGGAAUUGCCAGUCUGUCCGUGAGCUGAGCUGUGGCUGCAGGGCACUGUCAGAUGGUGGAAUUGCCAGUCUGUCCGUGAGCUGAGCUGUGGCUGCAGGGCACUGUCAGGUAUUGUUGGCUAUGGUGGAAUUGCCAGUCUGUCCGUGAGCUGAGCUGUGGCUGCAGGGCACUGUCAGAUGGUGGAAUUGCCAGUCUGUCCGUGAGCUGAGCUGUGGCUGCAGGGCACUGUCAGAUGGUGGAAUUGCCAGUCUGUCCGUGAGCUGAGCUGUGGCUGCAGGGCACUGUCAGAUGGUGGAAUUGCCAGUCUGUCCGUGAGCUGAGCUGUGGCUGCAGGGCACUGUCAGAGACCGACCAAACUGGAGAAUUUGAAUCAGAGAGGAAGCGAUGCACAACAAAUGCAGGGAGAAAUGGUGGAAUGGUGAUGGAAUCCUGCAGUGGUUCGGGUUGCAAGGGACCUUAAAGCUCAUGCAGCCCCACUGCCUGAGCAGGGACACCUUCCCCUAGCCCAGGGAAAAAGGCUGGAGCAAGAGGUUCCAAAAAGAACGGGGCUUUCUGCACGACAAAACCCGGGAGUGCCCGAUCCUGCCUGGAAGGAGGGGGGGGUGAACGGGCGGUGGGCGCCGCCAUGAAAGGAGCCGAGGGGCAGGGACUUGUCCGUACAAGGAGUGUCGGGGCGUGCCCAUGGCCAUAAAAGGACAGGACAAAGCAUUGAACUGGGAGAAGUUCUGCCAAAUCUUUGGGGUGUGUGCAGCCACAGGGAAGAGGCUCCAGCCAUGAUGCCCCAGAGAGCAUCAGUGAAAGCAGCACUAUUGCCCUGGCGUGUGCCCACUGCCAAUUGUUCACCCAACACAAUUCCAA